GGAUGUGAGGGUGAUCUGGCUGCACUAUCUGUCACUCCAUUGAUCACCAGGGUUGAUUUGGCUGAUCUGGGUGGCUAGGCGGGUGUCCUCCUCCUCCCUCACUGAUCCAUGCGCGUCCCUCCCAAAGCUGUGUGCUCCGUGGAAGAGGACGACCUUCCCCCUAGAGGAGAGGACUGGUUUUUGGUCAAGGGUAUAUGAGUAGCUGCGCUCCCCUGCUAGAACCUCCAAACAAGCUCUCAAGAAAUUAAACGCUUUCCAGGUCAGAUAUUUAAAAUGAAAUGUAAUGAAAGUGGCAAAUACAUAUGGCAAUUUUCCUAGAGAUUU
ensembl:misc_RNA 7SK 7SK RNA